AUGGAUAAGAGAGUGGGAAAAGAAAAUGGAAGAGGAAGAGGAAAGCAAAGAACUGCAAUAUCAGAUGACAUUUGUGGUACUGUGGUUGACUAUGUUCUUGUUGGUGGUUUGAAAAUGAGAGAAUCAGGGCAACAAGUAUAUUCAAAUCUCACUCGCUACACAGACUCAAGAUGUCAGAUUUCUGUUAAUCAACCAUCAGCACCAAAGUCAAUUCCUCCUGGAGGGAGCGUCACCUUCAGCUGUACUACUGCCAGUAAUGUGGGUAACGCCAUAAACUGGUAUCAGCAGAGACCUGGACAAACUCCUAAACCUCUCAUCACUGCUGCAAGCUCUCGCUAUGGUGACACCCCGAGUCGCUUCACUGGCAGUGUAACUUCAGGAACUUCAUACAGUUUGACUAUCAGUGGAGUUCAGCCUGAAGACGCCGGUCACUACUACUGUAUGCAGUAUAACAGCUACCCUUUCACACAAUGA